AAAAAAAAAAAAAAAAACUAAGUCAACUGGGGGCAAAAAUGUCAUUGUGCCCCUCCAGCCCUAUAGGGGUCCAAGGAGAAUCCCGUCACAUCCCCUGCAAAAGAGUUAGAGAGAAAUUGGAAAGGAGUUAGCCGCGAAGAUUAUCGGACCAUCGUCGAAAUCCACCUUCAGACGAGACUUGUACAAGGACUGAGAAGUUAGCGAGGCCGACGCUCCGUCAAGACCCAAGAACAUUUCGCGAGGAACAACUCUACGCACGAUCUAUGAAGAAGUUUGGCUGAGACCUCAAUCCGAAGGCGGAGAUCCGAGAAUCGUCCAAGAACGGGACCUAAUAUAAAGAAAUCAGUAUUUUUGGACACCUCACGGGUAAAGAAACGCUAGCAAAAAGGCACGCAUCAACCAGGUAAAUCACCACCCGGUAUUUAGGAAGAAAUACUUGUAGGAUUCGCUUGGAUUGCAUGCAUGCUAGUAGUUUUGCUUCG